UUCUUAUCCAGAGAGGUGGAGGGACUGACCCUGUGAAGCCUCGGCAACCAGCACAUUUGUGCACGGUGCCAAUUUCAGGGAAGCUUAGGGAAUAAGCUCCGAAGAUGAGAA
rnacentral:ncRNA from 2 species